rnacentral:rRNA from 1 species
GACGAACGCUGGCGGCGUGCUUAACACAUGCAAGUCGAACGGAAAGGCCCUGCUUUUGUGGGGUGCUCGAGUGGCGAACGGGUGAGUAACACGCGAGUAACCUGCCCUUGACUUUGGGAUAACUUCAGGAAACUGGGGCUAAUACCGGAUAGGAGCUCCUGCUGCAUGGUGGGGGUUGGAAAGUUUCGGCGGUUGGGGAUGGACUCGCGGCUUAUCAGCUUGUUGGUGGGGUAGUGGCUUACCAAGGCUUUGACGGGUAGCCGGCCUGAGAGGGUGACCGGCCACAUUGGGACUGAGAUACGGCCCAGACUCCUACGGGAGGCAGCAGUGGGGAAUAUUGCACAAUGGGCGGAAGCCUGAUGCAGCAACGCCGCGUGCGGGAUGACGGCCUUCGGGUUGUAAACCGCUUUCGCCUGUGACGAAGCGUGAGUGACGGUAAUGGAUAAAGAAGCACCGGCUAACUACGUG